GAGACUUUAGUUCCGGAUAGAAUAGCAUUUAUUUUGUAAAUGAGUUAAGACCUCCUUUUCAGUCAGCUUUUUACAUUAAAGCUAAUACUUAUUGUGCCUUUGUUUUGCAAAUUAUGUUAACAUUUUUAAAGUGUUUCUGACUUCUUUGAGCUUGAAUUGAGUGUUGUUUACAGCAAAUUGUAGGUAUUAGGGAUCGUACGGUCAGUACAGUACACUCGUUCGAGGCCGGCUAACAACAUGUCACGUUUAAUCGUUUAUUUGUUUUGCAUUGCAUUUAUGAUUAUUAACAUAGACGGCAAGAUCGCCUCACGAAAUUCCGAUGAUGUAAAAGGCAUAGAAUUUGAAAACGAAUUUCUUAUGUUGGAUAACAACAUUUUAGUUCUUGAUUCAGAUGUGGCCGAGAAAAAAUGCGCUGAAGUCGGAGAAUACUGUGACAGAAACAGUGACUGCUGCAGUAACCUGUGUCUAGGAUUUAUGAAAAGGUGCGUCUCAGGCUCGAAGAAUAAAUGUUUGAUGUUCAUAAAUAAAUUAAAGGAUAAUAAAUUUAAUUAAUUGCGUAUAUAUAUAUAUAAAUGUAAGUAAGUACUUAAUAAAAUAU